rnacentral:misc_RNA from 1 species
UCUCCGUUGGUGAACCAGCGGAGGGAUCAUUACCGAGUGCAAACUCAUAACCCUUUGUGAACCUAUAUCUGUUGCUUCGGCGGCUCGCUCUCGGGCGAGCCCGCCGGUAAUAUCAGUAUCUCUGUUUGAACCCGACGAUACUUCUGAGUGUUCUUAGCGAACAGUUAAAACUUUUAACAACGGAUCUCUUGGCUCUU